UUUCAUUUGUUAUACCCCAUGUACGUGGGCUGGAGAGUACAUUCCAUUAGUUACAGAGCACCCUGUGGACCACCUUGUACACUGUGCUGGAGAAAUCCCAGUUGGUAUGGCAAUGUCAACAGGGAGCAUCUCUUUAAAUCACGAGAGAAGCAACCAAUGUAAAAACCAAAGAAAAUCUACAGUUGCUGGAAAUCUGAAAAUCAAACCAGAAAUGCUGUGAAUAAUCAGCAGAUCAGACAACUUCUGUGGAAGGAGAAACAGAAUUUCUGUUCCUGGUUGUAGAGGGUCAAGUGACGGAUCUGAAAUAAUAACUGUUUCUCUUUUAGAGGAUUUGCUUGACGUCUGAGUAGUUCCAGGAUUUUCUGGUCUGAUCCUCGUCUUUCUAACACUGCGCCAUAAUGGUCACGGAUGGGUCUUCCUGCACUAUUUACUGUUCGUGUCGGUAGAACUGGGCGUGAUAUGAACAUUUGAUGUGGGACUGAUGCAUGGAAAUUUAGAGGCACAGUGACAGGAUCAAUGCCCAGAACUGUUCAUAUUUCCAGGAAAUUAUUUCCAUCUCCGAGAAAAGCUGAACAUAAACAGAAGAGAAUCUGCAGAUGCUGGAAAUCCGGAGAACGCACACAAAAUGCUGGAGGAACUCAGCAGAGAUACAACAGAGUAACAGGUCAUUCGGACAGACCAAGCCUGCGCCACCAGUUACCCCCAUGUGACCGAUUAACCUCCAGAUCUGUACAUGUUUGGAACGUGGGAGGAAAUUGGAGCACCAGCGGAAUGGACAAGCUCCCUACAGACAGCGGCGGGAAUUGAACCUGGGUCGCUGGUGCGGUUCUUUUGAAGCCCCUGACCUGGAGUUACACGCUGACUUCAGUCCUUUGCCGAAAUGGGACCUGCUCUCGGGACCUCACAACCAGCCGCUUUUCGAUAUGCCAAGGAUGCGGCCUGGAAGAUCAGCAUGCCUUCAGGGUUUUGGAUUUUCAUGGCUCUGGAAGCAGGUGGAUUCAAGGCUGUGCUGCUGUGGCCUGUUGCAUCGAGGGAGAUGGAAGAUCGAAAGCAGCGAGCUGGCUGCUGGCCGUGUGCCCAAAGACCCAAGUUCUUUGUCCACAGAACUCGGAAGAAGUGAAGCAACAGACUUUUAGCAUCGUAAAUCAAUGCGUUGUUUCGUUAUGUCUCCCCUCUUGCUGUGAAACGGGGUCAUGUUUUGUCCCCUUAUGGCAGAGAGAGAGCCUGUGGUACGUCAAAUUACCAGGUGAAUGAGUAGUCUUUGGGGUACUGCAAGUCUGUGUCUUUAUUAAUGCUUUGCUGCACGCUUGAGUGCUCGGUGGGGGGUGCCGAUUCUUCUUUGCUAGUGGGGGAGUAGGGAAUCAUUGCUUUACUGCUGUUUAUGUGUGAGAGGGGGGAGCUUGGGGGGGCUUUGGGAUUCUUACAUUUAACUAUCAUUCAUUUUUUGGGGCACUCCUCUGUUUUCAUGGAUGUUUGCGAAGAAGAAAAAUUUUGGAAUGUAUAUUGUAUACAUUUCUCUGACAUUAUAUGUACCUUUCCUGUUUGGCUGCUGGUGACUAGUGGUGUUCCUCAGGGGUCUGUGUUGAGACCAAUUCUUUUCACGUUAUAUGUUAAUAAUUUGAUUGCUGGAAUUGAUAACUUUGUUGCAAAAUUUGAAGACAACAUGAGGAUAGGUGAAGGAGUAGAUAGUUUUGAGGAAGUCUGCAGAAGGACCUACAGGUUAGGAGAAUGGGCAAAGAAAUGACAGCUGGAACACAGUGUCAGGAAGCGGAUGGUCAUGCACUUUAGUAGAAGUAAUGAAAAGGUUGGCUAUUUUCUAAAUGGAGAGAAAAUACAAAGACGUUGAGGCACAAGGGGACUUAGAAGUCCUUGUGCAGGAUUCCCUAGAGAGUGAUUUGCAGGUUGAGUCUGUGAUGAGGAAGGAACAUGUGAUGUUAGCAUUCAUUUCAAGAGGAUGAAAAUAUAAAAGCAAAGAUGUAACGUUGAGACUUGGAGAGUAUUGUGAGCAGCCUUGGGCCCCUCAUCUCAGAAAGGAUGUGCUGAAACUGCAGAGGGUUCAAAGCAGGUUCACAAAAACGAUUUUGGGAUUGAAUGGCUUGGCACAUCUAGAGCGUUUGAAGGCUCUGGGCCUAUACAAACUGGAAUUCAGAAGAAUGAGGGGUGACCUCAUUAAAACAUAUUGAAUGGUGAAAAGACUUGAUGGAGUGGAUGUGGAGAGAUUGUUUCCUAUGGUUGGAGAGUAUAAGACCAGAGGACACAGCCUCGGAAGAGAGAGGUUUUGUUUUAGGAUGAAGAUGAGGAGGAAUUUCUUUUGCUAGAGAGUGGUGUAUCUGUGGAAUUCUUAGCCAUAGGCAGCUAUGGAGGCCAAAUCUUCUGUUUCUUGGUCUUCUCCCGCUGUAGUCCAUCCACUUCAAGGUUUGAUGUGUUGUGCAUUCAAAGACGCUCUUCUGCACACCACUGUUGUAAUGUGUGGUUAUUUGAGUUACUGUCACCUUCCUGUCAGCUUGAACCAUUCUGGCCAUUCUCCCCAACCUCUCUCAUUAACAAGGAAUUUUCAUCAACAGAACUGUCGGUCAUUGAAUGUUUAUUUUUCUGUUUUUGCACCAUUCUCUGUAGGCUCCAGAGAAUUUUGUGCAUGAAAAUCCCAGGAGAUCAUCAGUUUUUGAGAUACUCAAACCACCCAGUCUGGCACAAUUAUCAUUCCACUGUCAAAGUCACUUAGAUCACAUUUCUUUCCCUAAUCAAUAAACAAUACAAUGCUAAACUGAAUUGAAUUGAACAUUCCUAGACUCUCAAGGACCCUCUGGUUUGAUGUUUAAUAUUCUGAGUAUUUCUCACUCAUUUUUGCUGUUUGCAUGAUUUGUUUUUUUUCUGCACAUUAGCUGUUUGAUGUUUUCUUUGAAUGGGUUUCAUGGUGUCUUUGUUUCGUGUCUGUCUGCAGGAAGAUGACACUAGAGUUGAUAAUAGACUUAUUUCAAACCUUUGAAUUUGUAGUCAUCACUUUGGAAAUGGGUAGUCAGCAGAUAUUUCCAUUCACAAUGGGCAGAGCACUUCCGGUGUUUUGAGUUCAGCUUCCCUUAGAUUGAGACCUCCUUUUAAGGCCGAGUUGAGAAAUGGAUGUGUUCUGUGCCGUGACGUUGGUUGCUAAGAAGCAGCAAGCAUCAUGAUUUAACAAAAGCGACAUGACUGUUGAUGUAAAAAUGGUGACUGUGAUGGAGCACGGCUCAGAAUCCAUCUCCUUAACCUCUACUAACUGCCUUCAAACCUGGCUUAGGAUAAUAGGGUGAAAUAUUCUUCUAAUGGUCCUGUGGGUCUCACACAAUGCAGCAAAGGUGCUCUUCACAGUUUGAGACCACGCUGAGUGGGUUUCAUCUCUAUUUAACUCAGGCUAUUCCACCUGACCUGGAAAAAGCUUGAAGCUGCUAGUGGAUGCAGAAAAUGGAAAACGGUUUGUGGCUAAGCACUCAUCAUAUACUUGUCUGAUGAACACAAAGGCCAUGGGGGAAUAAUUUUGGCUCUGAGUGAACAGCAGAGAUGUAUAACGAGAGGCUGAAUCAAUACUGUCCAUUUUACAUUAACAUUCAAAACCAAAAUUGCCCCAUCAUACCUACCCACUCUCUGAAAGGCAUUUACAAAUAACCAUAGAUUACAACCAUUAUUUCCCAGUAGUGCUAUUAAUUUCCACCAAAUCCAAUUUGCUUUGUUCAUGAAGAUAAUUUUAUCCUGACCCAAAAGGAUUUUAAAGGAUUCAGUUAAAUUUAUAAAGGCUUUUUAUUAUGAUAUUAUCACUUAAGCUCAAGAAUUUGAAAUCUACCAGAAUAACCAUGGCUCUGCCAGAGAGCACAAUAGGGGAGACGUUAGAUGGGGGAUUUUCUUACAUCAGAUUCAAUUACGCACUGCAACUGAAGUGAAUUUUAAAUGAUUCUUCUGCGAGUUUAAGUAGGGAUAGAGGCAGAUGAGGAAGCGUACUUGUAGACCAAAACAUGCAAUGUAUCUCUCUAAUGAUGACCUCCACUGUAUUUUAAGGGCAAAAAGUAAAGCUCCCUAUUAGUGCAAUUAAUUUAAAAUUUAAAAAAAUACUAGACACCUGUAAACAAAUAGGCUGCUGAGUAGCAAAACAUGAAGACAGGAGAUUCUGCAGAUUGUAGAAAUGCAGAGUAACACACACACAAUGCUGAAGGAACUCAGCAAGUCAAGGGGCAUCCACGGAGAAGAAUAAAGAGUCGACGUUUCGGGCCAAGACCCUUCAUCAGGACCAUGGACUGCACUAUCCAAGGGUACAUACUUGUGUGAUCAGACAGCUCAGAAACUGCAGGUCCUGCACCUCAUGAACAAAGAACCAAACAGAAAAAAUGUGCGCUUAUUGCAAUUGCAGUAUGUUCUCAGUUAUCCUUGAUUUUUCAUCAAUUAGCACACAAGGACUCAGACAACAGCCUUGGCAAUGAUGUUCAAUAGAGGUAAAUCCUUAUGCAAUUACUCUUCUAUGUGAGCUUGCUUGUUUUCCUCUGGGAGAUGUUUAUAAUUUUCACCCAAAAUCUGUUAUUUUUCCCUCAAAACUGUGCUAGAGGAUCCUAGACAUGAGCUCCCAUACCUGGGAGGAAAGCUGGUAGUUUGGUAAUUGCAGGAGGGUUGAAAUGACAGACUUAUGCUUCCUUUUGAGAGCUACAGAGAUGGGAGCAACAGAGCCAUAGCUGUCAUUGCCAAGUUGUAAUUUGUUUGAACUGUAUUCAGUUAUUUUGUCCAUCAAAUGUGACUGAGGUCAAGUUCAGUGUAUUGUCACAUGCACAGUCAUGGUGAGGUGCAGAGGGAACGACAAACUUGCUUGCGGCAGUAUCACAGGCGCAACAAUUAAAACAACACGCAUAACAUAAUGUCUUCUUUCCAAUGAGGCUGGGAGAGAACAAAGCCAAAGCUCAUGGGCUAAGGGUGAAAAGGGAAAUGUUAAGGGGAACAUGAGGGGUAACUUCUUCACUCAGAGGUUGGCGAGAGUGUGGAACGAGCUGCCAGCUCAAGUGGAGGAUAAAGGCUCAGUUUGAACAUUUAAGAGAAAUUUGGAAAUUUGCAUGGGUGGAAGGGUUAGGGAGGGCUAUGGUCUGGGUGCUGGUUGAUUGGUUGUGAAGGUUUGAAGGGUCUGUUUCAGUGUUGUAAUGCUCUGUGACUCUAUCACUGAUAUAAGUCAUACAUAAAUUGUACAAGGCAGUGAAGAGAAAAGUGCAAGUGUCAUUGAAUCAAACAGCUCGGAAACCUCCUCUUUGUCUCAUCGUGUUUUGUGUUCCUGUCUGUGCCAGUCAUUGUUGUUCUAUUUACCAGUGUUCUAGUUUAUAAUCAGCAACUCCCAUUACAGACAUUAUCAUGGAAUGUGCACCAAGAUGAUGAGAGGGCAAUGAGCAGAAUCCUAGCCAGUCAAAAACUAAGCCCAGUGAAAGAGGAAGAACCCUUCUCCAAAUGUUUCAUUGAAUAGCUGAAAGACAGAACAUCUUUAAUUUAAAUCCCCUAAAGGUGAAACACUAGAUGGUGCUCAAAACUUAAUAACCAAUCAAGCAGGAGAGACGCUGUCUCCAGAUACAGCACAUUGAAACUUGGUCAUUACUUAAGCACAAGAUUUUACUUUUAGUAUGUUCUCUCAGCUUUAUUAUCAUUCUCAUAUGUCAUGAAAUCUGGUGCUUUGUGGCAGAAAUACAGUGCAAGACAUAAAGAAUUACUAUAGAUUAUAAUCACAGAGUGCAGAAGUGGAAUAGUGAGGUAGUGUUCAUGGGUUUGUGCACCGUUGAGAGAAACCCAUGGUGGAGGGAAGAGGCAGUUCCUAAAAGCCAAGCACUACCUCAUUAUAGCAACACUUCGAACACUUUGCACUACUCCACAUAAUAAUGACUUUUUGUUCUGAUUGUGUUCUUUCUUCUAUAAAUUUGUAUUAUUUAUAUUUAAUUUAUGCUUCCCUUGUGAAUGUUCUGUGCCCAUGAUGCUGCUGCAAGUGAGUUUUUCAUUACACCUGUGUAGAUGACAACAAACUUGAAUUUGACUUUGAGGUUGGGAGCCAGAACUGUGUUAUAGGAUUUAGUUCAAUCAAGAUCCAAGUUUGAAGAUGGUUUAUUGUCAUUCUUCGGUACUGGAAUGUAAAGGCGAACAAAAUGGUUGUUGCUUUGGAUCCUACGCAGC